UGCAGGGAUCUGGUGGGUAUUUUGCACUGUUUUCCACUUGUAUCUGUUGUUUCUGCGGUGUGUGUAGUAUAGGGAGAGAAAUUAGCCUCAUUGGUUGUCUCCGUGUUUCUUUCUCUCCUCAGAUGCAGACAGACAUGCCGAACUAUCUGGAAGUCCACUGAAAAGCAAAAGCACUAGGAAACCUUUGGCAUGCAUCAUUGGGUAUUUAGAGAUCCAUCCUUCGAAGAAACCUAAUGUAAUUCGAUCUACACCAAGCCUGCAAACCCCAAGUACCAAGAGGAUGCUAACCACCCCGAACCACACAUCCCUGAGCAUUUUGGGGAAAAGAAACUACAGUCAUCACAAUGGCCUAGAUGAACUCACAUGCUGCGUGUCAGACUGAGCUAUCCCUGUUUCAUCCUAUAAUCCAAGACUUGCUACACUGUCCUGCUGAUGUUCACAGCCAUGCCUGAGAAGGAGGCAGCCCCAUUCCCAGUCCAUUUCAAUGGGAGACCCCCAUAUGCGCCCCAUGGAGCCUGGAUGGGGCAGGGGAAGAAACUGUAGGCGUGCAGGUCCCAAAAGAUGAGUCUCCGUGUGAGAAUCUGUGUCACCUCGCUUUCCUCUCAGAGACCUCGCUGUCCCAGCGGGACCUGCCCAAGAAAUGAGGGGACGAGGGAGCCACCCCGCCUCCUUCCUUCUCCAGCACUGCGCCCCCUGGGCACAGUAGCUCCCGGCGCCGUGGAGCAGCUGAGCGCUCAGAGCCCCUGCUGCCCUGCAUGCGUCAGCUCUGUCCUAAGCUGUAUGAGCGUGUACAGGAAGGACAUGGCAUCUUUCUGAGGAUUCUCCCUGACACAUGUGCCAGUGCUUAUGCAGUUCACAAUAUUUCCCCCGUCCUUGCUCUUCCUGUCCCUGGCUUUUUUUCAAUAGGCUUCAUACUUAUUUUUUUUUUUAUGGAGGAAUUUUCCUCUUUGCCCCCUCCAUUCUGUAUUUGACCCUCCUCCUCUACCCCUCCAAGGAACGGAAUGACCUGAGGUUCUGACAAAUGAUAAGAAAACUGUCAUUGGUAAGCCUGCAAA